GUGGGGGAUAUUGGUCAAUGGGGGGAACCCUGAACCAGCCAUGCCGCGUGAGGGAGUAAGGCCCUACGGGUUGUAAACCUCUUUUGCCGGGGGAUAAGGACACCUACGUGUAGGUGUUUGAAGGUACCCGGAGAAUAAGCAUCGGCUAACUCCGUGCCAGCAGCCGCGGUAAUACGGAGGAUGCGAGCGUUAUCCGGAUUUAUUGGGUUUAAAGGGUGCGCAGGCGGGCGAUUAAGUCAGCGGUGAAAGGCUCGGGCUCAACCGGAGCAGUGCCGUUGAUACUGGUUGUCUUGAAUGCGGUCAAGGCCGGCGGAAUGUGGCGUGUAGCGGUGAAAUGCAUAGAUAUGCCACAGAACACCGAUAGCGAAGGCAGCUGGCCGGGCCUGCAUUGACGCUGAGGCACGAAAGCGUGGGGAUCGAACAGG
rnacentral:rRNA from 1 species